CCUACGGGAGGCUGCAGUGAGGAAUAUUGGUCAAUGGGCGUAAGCCUGAACCAGCCAAGUCGCGUGAGGGAUGACGGUUCUAUGGAUUGUAAACCUCUUUUAUAAGGGAAUAAAGUGCGGGACGCGUCCCGUUCCGUGAGUACCUUAAGAACAAGGAUCGGCUAACUCCGUGCCAGCAGCCGCGGUAAUACGGAGGAUCCGAGCGUUAUCCGGAUUUAUUGGGUUUAAAGGGUGCGGAGGCGGCCAUUGAAGUCAGCGGUGAAAGUCCGGAGCUCAACCAUUGAAGUGCCGUUGAAACUGGUUGGCUUGAGUGAGUGAGAGGCAGGCGGAAUGCGUGGUGUAGCGGUGAAAUGCUGAGAUAUCACGCAGAACCCCGAUUGCGAAGGCAGCAUAC
rnacentral:rRNA from 1 species